GGCCACAGCCAUAAAGCCCUGCAGCCGAAGACCAGUUUCUAACUAAAGCUAAGCAGGGCUGGGCCUGGUUAGUACCUGGAUGGGAAAUCACAGGGGGAAAACUAGGUUGCUGUUGGAA
ensembl:rRNA 5S_rRNA 5S ribosomal RNA